AUUGCUCAUCUUCCUGUUAGGCUAUUUAGUUGGGAUGUGUGUUCUGGUGUUGAAAAUGAGAUGCCUCUGUUCCACAGGAGCAUUAAUAUAAUCAUUUGAGGGGAAAACAGUUAUCUUUUGACCUAUAAAGACUCAACAGUGUAUUUUGAUGACUACUUACAAUAAACACAUUUUGUAUUGAGGGAACCACUGAUGUUUCACUUAGAUGUGAGUAAAUGACUUGUACUCCAACAUUGUGUGAAUGCAGAACAGUUGAGAGUUUAUAACUUUUUGAUGUACCAGCAAUACACUUUUGUUGAGCAAGUUUGUCUUGUGUUUCUUAUUCUUGUUAAUUAUGUGGGGUAGAUGGUUCUAGAAAGUGCAGUGGUAGGGGGUAGUGGUUAUUCACAAGAUUCUACACUGUUGAGGGUUGAUUGUAGUACACCUGAGAGCAUUAGUACACCAAAGUGAAGUGCAAUCUGGAAGAGUUUUUUUUCUGACAAUUACAUUAGUGUUGAGUAGAGUUGACACUAUUCAUUUUUAACUCUAUAUAGUGUUAAAAUAGACAUGGAUAAAUGUUAAACAGUUAACACUUUGAAAAGUGUUGAUUUAACAUUCAAAAAGUGGACACACAAAUAUGGCUAUUACUUAUUACUGAAAUGUCUGUGCUUUAUCAAAGUCAACAGGAUCUAUUUUUUCACAGGAAAGAUUGGAGAUGUGUGAUAUGUUGAUAAUUAUUGGCUGAUUAAUAAAAAGAAAUUGCAGUCUAAGUCUAGAACUGAUUUUUGUUUAAUUUUGCAAAGUCAUUUUUUGAAAUAGUUUCGACUGGCCUUCAAGCUAAUUUUUCUUAUUUUCCUGAAUUAUUUUAAAGUAGCUUUUGAACACCACACAGUGGGCCCAAAGUCAUCCUCUGAAACAAAGUUUUACAGUGAGACCAAAGGGGCAUUCAAAGGAUCAUUUAGGCGCAUGUCUUUGCAUUCGAGCCUGUGUGCUGUGACUCCCGGUCCAUCUUUUGUCUGACUUUGGUCCUCUUCUGAGCCAAACCUCUCAAUCCACCAGUAGACAUUUAUUACAAAUUCAAAUCGCCACACCAGCUAGAAGCUAAAAGUAAAGGAUUUUCUUAGUACUUGGUGUACUUCAUAUAAAUUCAAGCCUGUCAUUGUUACUUUCAAGGCAAGAGUAAUUACGAAGAUCUCAAGGGAGUUAAAGUUAUUACCAUACUAAACAGGUCAUAACAUCUUAUCAUACAGUUAUAACGGGCAAAAGUUAAUUUUUCCCUUUUUUUUUUUUUUUUUUUUGGUACUUCAGCUGUUAUUUCUCUAAAAUUACUUUGUAAUUACACUGGCACAAAGGAACAAAGUUUUUUUCUUAGGGUUCUCUUUUAUUCACUCAAAAGGCACCAAAAGGUUGUGAGCUGUUGAUGAUAGUAGCAUGUAUCUCCUGGCUGCUGUUGCUGUUGGCUGUUAUCUGCUCACCAUGACUUACACAACAACAUUGACCACCACUGAGCAAAGACCAUCUGCAGCCUGAUACCACAGACAAACAACAGAGCUCCCCUCAGGAGGAACAGCAGGCCCUGAGCCCUCUCGCUGUUUCAUCUUGAUUAGCAUUUAAUUUGGGGUUUUUCCAGGGAAGCUGUUGAAGGCAGAGAAUCAAAUAGUACUUCUAUAAAAAACAAACAGAUAUCAUGCCAUGUCUUAAGGUCAAAUGCAUAAAACAACUCAGAAUGGCUUUUUUAUUUCCAGCUUUUACACAACAAGAGCUCUUACACAUGUAUCUAUCUGUCAGAUAUUUAAGUCUAUUCUUUAAAGUGACUUCAGGUGAAUAAUGUUAGGCAGUCACACCUCAAGUGAAGCAUAAGACCUGAAACUGACCUUUACAGCUGAUGAGACCAGCUUGGAUCUCAAAAUGCACCUACUCUGUAUGUGGUCCCUUCAGUGAUUGUUCUUUAGUGUGUGUGUGUGUGUGUGUGUGUGUGUGUGUGUGUGUGUGUGUGUGUGUGUGUGUGUGUGUGUGUGUGUGUGUGUGUGUGUGUGUGUGUGUGUGUGCGCGCGCGCGUCAAACCUGCCAGCAGGAACAUUGAGUGAUUUGAUUCAAAGAGACUUUGAGGAUUAAAAAACCCACAUGUUGCCAGCAGCGACAGAUUGGGACUCUGACUGAGAACAAGUGUGUGUGUGUGUGUGUGACAGAGGCUGUGUGUGUUCAGUGCUCUCACACUCACUGCAGCACAACUACAAAAGCAAAGAAACAUAACAACAGCGAUACUUGCAAGUCUUUCUUUGUAUUGAUUUAUGACCAUGCGAGGUCUUAUUAGAAUGAUGAAUGAUGAUACAUGUUCUUCAGUGCAUAAUGCAAGUGCACAAGAAUCAGGGUGUCCCAAUAGGCCUACAACUUUUUUACUUCCGAUACGAAACUGAUAUAGUAGCCUUCAGGAUUGGCUGAUACUGGUAUUGAUCUAAUCUUGGCACAAAUUUAUGCAUGAAAAGUUUUGCACUCAGCUGCAAUGUCUUUUUUGGAAUUAGUCAAAAAACACUGCUGUACAGCUGAUAUCACCCCUACUCUGUGCUACUUUGUUAGUACCCCAGUACACAAGACACAGUUUUACGGAACUUCUCAGUUAAACAAGUCUCACUUUCUGAAUUCUUCUUUCAAGCACCAGGAAAAUACAUCUGCAUUUCUGACCUUCUUUCAGUGUGAGACCAACACUGUAUUGUUGGUCGUGCCAUUGCCUCUUUUGAAACUUGAAAGCCUAUCUUGGCAUGUUAGAAUAAAGUCAUAACUACUGACUGUGUGCUCUGCAUCAUGGUCUUGCUUUGAUAUAUAUAUAUAUAUUUAUAGAUGAUAGAUAGAUAGAUAUUCUGUUUGAUAUGUUCUGAUGUUUGAAGCCUUUUCAGCAGUUUGCCGAAUGUUUUAAGUGAUUUGUGACUGUGAGAGUGUGUCCACACAGAGAGACCAAGACAAAUACCUCAUAAUCACACAAUGUUGUUUUCUAAGUACUGUACAUGUUAUCUCCAAUUACCUUACACUUUGAGAACAUACUAAACUCAGUUGGACUACUUUUAAAUUCAGAAAACUAUAACAAGCACAAAUGGAGGAUACUGUACAGACUGAAAAACCCCUGGGCAAGGAAUCAAUCUGUGAUAUACUCUCCCUGAGAGACAGAAUGUUAUUGAGCGUGUUUGCCAGGCAGAAAUGUACUAUAAGAAACACAGUGGGGGUUGGAGAAACACAUCACAAUGAGUACAAGAAUACUGCUCGCAGUGAAAAUGUUCGACAGGCUGCAGAGGCUUACACCUACUGAUGCUGCUUUUUAAUAGAUCCCUAAUUUAUCAUAGAAAAGCAAAAUCAUAUAAUUAACUUAUAAUACACAUCUUAUGAUCAUUAAGCAUCAAACAUAUAUGUAUCCAGAGCAAAGGCACUCAUUCAUUAAAAGCUCACAGCCCCAACCAGCUUCUUCUCUAUAUUUCAACCAAUUGGGAAAGAAGAAGGGCAAGAAAAACUUUGUACAGGGCUCAUCAUACAGAGUUUACACUGGUUUUGAAGUAAAGUUGUUCAGUCUUCAAUUUAGGAACAAAAAGCCUGUAACUACCUGAGAUUAGGGAGUAAACCAAAAGGAUCACUGCUUUCCCCAAAGUGUUAUGAGUACAAAGUUGCAGGAAAUCCCUUUCAAAUUGAAAUGAAAUGCAUCUGGAAAGAAACAGAAAACAGACACUGAUUUAAGUUUGAAACAACCAAUCCAAACAAGAAAUGCAUAAACUGUAAAUAAAAGUCACCAAAACUAAAAUAUCACGCCUUUAGUAAUCAAUGUUGAAUGAAAAUCACAGAAAACGCCACAUACAAAUAAUUAAGCUACUAAAAAAACAUUGAUUUUUACCAGUGAUGUCUGGACUUUUCUUUUUACGCACGCACGCAUGCUGAGAGCUGUGUACCACAGCCCUCUACAGGGAUCAUGAAACAAAGAGCUCUCUUGACCUGGGGCCUUAUGUAUCAACGUUUGCGGAGCAAGAAAACCUUGCGUACGCCAAAAUCGGUGCACACGUCCAGAUUUAUCAUCGCGAAAUGAGCGUCGGUUCCAGCGCUAAUCAACGCAAAGUCAGGAGGUGGUGUAGAAAUUGGCGGUGAGCAGAUACUUGCGUUGACUGUGAUUCGCACUUUGGCGACGCUGUGUGGCAGUGUUUGGUGACUCACUAUGUGACAAGCGUGCACCACAUCCCCGUGGCUGAGCAGCACGUCGCCCCACAUGACGAACCAGCAGCAGACGGAGGGAUGCGAGCUGAUCCCUGCCGGGCUGCCAUCCUCGCGCGGGAGAAUCUCAUCGCCACAGUGUGAAUGGGUAAGAAGUGAAUACACAGUUCAAUGAGCCAAAUUAAUUUAUUUUCUCCACCAGACGCUCGAGGACAUUUACGAGCCGGUCCAGCCGCUCGUUGAUCCCCGCGAUCCCCCUGAUGAUUUCUUCCUGCGAUUGCAGGACCCCCUCCGCGAGGACCCUUCCACUGCGUCCGGGUGGUCCAGCGGAAGCGCCGCGGCUGGUGGACGCUCCACCGCUUGCCGGCGUGCUGGUGCUGAUGCUGGUGCUGGGGCCGGGGUGGCCCGAAUGCCGCUGGUCCUGGCCGACGACUCCGAGCCGGCGGACGGGCUGCCGCGGGCCGGGGUUCCGCAAGCCGUCGACACGGCCGACGCAUUGAUUUCUGUGACACAAUAAAAAUAUUUGUUCAUUUCAAUUCCUGCUUCUGUGUAUCUGUUGCGUUUACAUCUCUCCAUGGUAUCAUAGGUAAUGUAAUCCAGUAUUUAGAGGUCAGUUAUGCACAUUACAGUUGUUUAUUGCAUAAAAAGUUAUCGAAAAAGGAAGUUAAGGGCGAAGUAUAAAUCACGUCUAAAAAUAGACUGAAUCCCGACGUUGAAAUGAAGUAUAAACUUAGACUAGACGUCUAAUAUACGCCUUUUGCUCAGUGGGAUGACAAAGCAUGUGGACAUUUGUGUGACACGCCACUUACCCUAUAAUAAUAAUCGCCACCACCCGCUGCUCAAACGGUGUGAGGGUCUCCUCCCCCGGACCCCCCACCUGUCUGGCUGGUAGGGCAGCUGUACGCCGCUUGACCUCCACCUUGAGGUCCGACCACUUUUUUGUAAUCUUCGCGGGGGUGCGUGUCUCGGAACCCACCGCAUUCACCCUCUCGCAAACUUUCUCCCACUCCAAGCGUUUUCGUUUUGCACUGACGCCACUGGACAGGCUGCCAAACAAAACACGCUGUCGCUCCUCCACCUCCGCCACCAGCACCUCCACCUCGCACGCCGUAAAUUUAGUUUUUCUUGUCAUUUUGUCUGCGUGCGAGGACAGGGAGACCCUAUUUAAAUAAAUCUGCAUAUUUAUAGGAGGGCGUAACGGGGACGGGCCCAGUCACUCCGACAUCUGCGCUCAAUUCCACGCUGAUUGGGAUUUAUCAAGGAAACACACGUGGAUUUCGGCGCCCGCACACAUUGAUACAUACGGAUUUUUUUCAGCGUGACGGACCUUGCGUGCGCUCGUUUCUGGUAUGAGUUCCACGCAAGUAUUGAUACAUAAGGCCCCUGGUCUCCUAAUGAAGCUGGCAUGUCAGACCAGCUGCCGCAACUGGACAUACCUGCAGCCAAAACUAUUUUACUCUUACCCUGCACUGCCCAUUCCAACUCUGGACUAUAUUUCAGUUUUUUACAAUCAUCCUAACACAAAUUCUAAUACCUCUGACACAUUUCCAAAACUCUUCACACAGUUUGCACAACAUCAGCCUAUGAGGCUAAUAGAAUGAAAACAUUUCUUGUUUGUUUGACACAAGCUGCACACAGUGGACACAUUUACAAAAUGUUUUAACCUCUCUUACAAACAACCUCUACCAAGGCCAAAACAAUCGACUCUAACUCACAAAUUUACAAAUGUCUUUACUCAGUAUGUCAGAGCAGAUAACCUUGUGUUCUAAAUGUAACCAACAGGCUAAAGUUGAAGGGAGAAGCACUUCACUUUAAAGAUUCAAUGACUCUAAAUUAUCAUUGUCAUUGAAAAGCAGCUGAUGUAAAUUAGUCAAACAAUUGAAAUCACAGCUGAGUACAAUCACAGCUCAUACAUAAAAAGUUUGGUGUGGUGUGUUGGUUUGGGUCUGAAACUACAGGGCAAUAGAGAAUGGCAGAGCAAAGAAGAGUUGGCCAAGGGAGAGGAGUUGGUCAAGGGUGUGGAAAUGGUCAAGGACAAGAAAGAGGGAUUCCUGGAGGGAGAGGACCGAGAGGAGUGAGAAUGGCGGUGUUCAACGAAGGGCCAGGACUCGGGUCCCUGAUGAAAUUAGGGCAACCAUAGUUGACCAUGUCAUCAAUCAUGGCCUAUCAUGCAGAGAAGCUAGAGAAAGAGUUCAGCCUACUCUCAGCCAGGAUACUGUGGCAUCUUUUAUCCGGGUUUUUUGAGAAACCAACCAAUAAGAUACAUCAUAAAGAUAUCUUCUAUUGAUCUAUUUACAGUGUGGAAUUUUACAGUAACAUGUAUUGUACUAUGUGACUGUGUGCCUCUGAUCCUUAAUAUGUUACUUUGUUCCUCCUCUCUGUAAGGAUCCAAUGUCUGCCUCACUCUGGGGGCAGGGGAAGGCUCCUAACUAAACAGCAGGAGCUGGCCUUUGUGGCCAUGGUGGUGGCCAACAAUGAAGUCAAACUCAAGGCAGUUCAGGUGAGAGUUCCUGAGCCAUCAACCCAAUUAGCCUAACAUCCGAACAUCCUAACAUCCAAAUUCAAACGAUGCGCUUGAACUGAGAGGUUGCAACAAGUCUGGUCUCUCUGUAUUAUCUGUAAUUUUUCCUUAAUUUUUUUCCAUAUUUUUGUUGUCAUUUUGUUGGCUGCUGAUGGAUACUUCUGGUGGGUGAAGAGUUUACUCAAGAGAAGAGCUCCUUUAUUUGAGAAAAAGCAAAUCUGGACAACAACAUACAAUUCCAGAGGACAACAAAAGCGACGAACUGGAGAUAUUGGUGAAGACUGAGAAAGCAUACUGUGAGUGCAGUUUCCUGUGUUUUACUGAAACCUGUUGCAUUAAAACAACUCGGACUCCAGUGUGGAUCUACCCGGCCUCACUGUAAGGUCAGGCAGAGAUGCUCAAGCUAGUGGCAAGAAGAAAGGAGGAGGUCUGGCUUUAUUUGUCAACCAGAGAUGGUGUAACCCUUUACAUAUAACUGUCAAGGAGAAGUUGUGUUGUCCAAAUAUUGAACUGUUGGCAGUUGCUCUUUGGCCAUAUUAUGUUUCAAGAGAAUUCAGUCAUAUCAUGACAAUAGUUGUUCACAUCCCACCCAAAUCAACUGAAGAAAUUCCAUGCAAUCUUUUGCAUAAUAGUGUUACCAGGCUACAGACUCAACACCCGGAGGCACUGAUAAUAAUAUCAGGAGACUUCAACCAUGUCACCCUCUCCU